rnacentral:rRNA from 1 species
UGGGGAAUAUUGCACAAUGGAGGGAACUCUGAUGCAGCGACGCCGCGUGAACGAAGAAGGCUUUCGAGUCGUAAAGUUCUUUUAUAUGGGAAGAUAAUGACGGUACCAUAAGAAAAAGCCCCGGCUAACUACGUGCCAGCAGCCGCGGUAAUACGUAGGGGGCUAGCGUUGUCCGGAAUCACUGGGCGUAAAGGGUUCGCAGGCGGAAAUGCAAGUCAGGGGUGAAAUCCCACGGCUCAACCGUGGAACUUCCUUUGAUACUGCUUAGCUUGAAUCCGGGAGAGGGUGGCGGAAUUCCAGGUGUAGGAGUGAAAUCCGUAGAUAUCUGGAGGAACAUCAGUGGCGAAGGCGGCCACCUGGACCGGUAUUGACGCUGAGGUGCGAAAGCGUGGGGAGCAAACAGG